GACCGACCUGUUCCAGGAGUUAAUCCCAGCUACCUACCCAGACCUCUUGGUAAUCGAUAGAGCCCACUUCCUGCGCAGACCUAGCCAUCUACCUUCCACUACAGUGAGGGAUGUAAUUUCAUGCAUUCAUUUCUACUACGUGAAGGAGCGCAUUACAAAGGCCUGUAGGAAUACCUCCCUUCCUGAACCAUACACUAACAACAAAGUCUUCGCAGACAUGUCGGCUGCCAC